rnacentral:rRNA from 1 species
AUUGAACGCUGGCGGCAGGCCUAACACAUGCAAGUCGAGCGGAGCGGCGGACGGGUGAGUAAUACCUAGGAAUCUGCCUGUUCGUGGGGGAUAACGUUCGGAAAUGGACGCUAAUACCGCUUACUAUCAGAUGAGCCUAGGUCGGAUUAGCUAGUUGGUGGGGUAACGGUUCACCAAGGCUACGACCCGUAACUGGUCUGAGAGGAUGAUCAGUCACACUGGAACUGAGACACUGUCCAGACUCCUACGUGAGGCAGCAGUGGGGAAUAUUGGACAAUGGGCGAAAGCCUGAUCCAGCCAUGCCGCGUGUGUGAAGAAGGUCUUCGGAUUGUAAAGCACUUUAAGUGGGGAGGCGUUACCGACAGAAUAAGCACCGGCUAACUCUGUGCCAGCAGCCGCGGUAAUAC